CCUACGGGAGGCUGCAGUGGGGAAUAUUGGACAAUGGGCGAAAGCCUGAUCCAGCCAUGCCGCGUGUGUGAAGAAGGCCUUCGGGUUGUAAAGCACUUUCAGUGGGGAAGAAAGCCUCUGGGCUAAUACCCUCGAGGAAGGACAUCGCCCACAGAAGAAGCACCGGCUAACUCCGUGCCAGCAGCCGCGGUAAUACGGAGGGUGCGAGCGUUAAUCGGAAUUACUGGGCGUAAAGCGCGCGUAGGCGGUCUGAUAAGCCGGUUGUGAAAGCCCCGGGCUCAACCUGGGAACGGCAUCCGGAACUGUCAGGCUAGAGUGCAGGAGAGGAAGGUAGAAUUCCCGGUGUAGCGGUGAAAUGCGUAGAGAUCGGGAGGAAUACCAGUGGCGAAGGCGGCCUUCUGGACUGACACUGACGCUGAGGUGCGAAAGCGUGGGUAGCAAACAGGAUUAGAUACCCCAGUAGUC
rnacentral:rRNA from 1 species